rnacentral:rRNA from 1 species
ACGCACGCUGGCGGCGUGCUUAACACAUGCAAGUCGAACGGUGAUGCUCCAGCUUGCUGGAGUGGAUCAGUGGCGAACGGGUGAGUAACACGUGAGCAACCUGCCCCAGACUCUGGAAUAAGCGCUGGAAACGGCGUCUAAUACUGGAUACGAAACUGGCCCGCAUGGGCAUGGUUUGGAAAGUUUUUCGGUUUGGGAUGGGCUCGCGGCCUAUCAGCUUGUUGGUGAGGUAAUGGCUCACCAAGGCGACGACGGGUAGCCGGCCUGAGAGGGCGACCGGCCACACUGGGACUGAGACACGGCCCAGACUCCUACGGGAGGCAGCAGUGGGGAAUAUUGCACAAUGGGCGAAAGCCUGAUGCAGCGACGCCGCGUGAGGGAUGACGGCCUUCGGGUUGUAAACCUCUUUCAGCAGGGAAGAAGCGAAAGUGACGGUACCUGCAGAAGAAGCACCGGCUAACUACGUG